rnacentral:lncRNA from 1 species
CAAAUACAACAACUCAGCCCAAAAUAUCUAGCCCAGAAAUAUGACACCCACAAGGCUUAACAAAAUAUAUUAGAAUACCAACAUCAUCAUGAUAACAGAACAAAAUAAUAUAACUUGAUACCGAAGAAUAUACAAGGAAAUGAGAAAGGAAUAAAUUCUAUGACAUAUAUGAAAAUGCAAUACAAGAAAACAAGUAAUAUUUCCUUCCAUCCCACACUUAAAUCAUUGCAUUGUUCACAAUGUUCAAAAUAAUUCAAAACAAAAACAAAAAAAAAAGAGACAAAAUCAUGACUCCCUGGUCCAUUCUUGCUCCAUGUUGGAGUCCUCCUUUUUUCAACUUUCCUCUCCAUCAAUAU